rnacentral:rRNA from 1 species
UACGGAGGGGGGCAAGCGUUGUUCGGAGUCACUGGGCGUAAAGGGCGCGUAGGCGGUGCAUCAAGUCAGGCGUGAAAGCCCCGGGCUUAACCUGGGAAUUGCGCUUGAUACUGAUGCGCUAGAGAGCGGGAGAGGAUGGCGGAAUUCCUGGUGUAGCGGUGAAAUGCGUAGAUAUCAGGAGGAACACCUGCGGUGUAGACGGCUUACUGGACCAUGACUGACGCUGAGGCACGAAGGCUAGGGGAGCAAACGGG